UCGCACCCAAUCCGGACCGCCCACUUCCGCUCAGCUCUCUAACGUCCUCCAGUGGGAGCGUUCUAGGCUCCUCGAGUGAGCGUCGCCUUUCUGAGAUCACAAGAUGAAGGUCCAUUUCCUGACUGGUGUAGGACAAAGACUCACCUUCUGAACUACCCACUGCACAAGACCCAGGUUUUUAAAAGAGCACAGGGAGAAACCAGAAAUAGAUCAAACGCCUUUGUAGCCUCUGAGGAGGGCCAUUGAAAUGCAUUAAAUCCAGGAUCAGUUCUGAUGACCAAGAUCCCAAAGACAAACUGAAGACCCAAGCCCCAAAAUACUGUUCUCCAGCACACCUGAGAACAAGAAAAUUAUUCCAGUGUGAAUUCUAAACUCUAUUUACCCAAUACCUGGACAAGAAUGAAGUUGAAAGAACGAAUCUGAGAACACAAAUUACACGACUUCCCUUUCAUAAAGUUUCCAUAUCAAUAAAUGUGAUCUAAAGACUCAUUUUUGAAGAUUGUUCCAAUAACUAACCAAAAUAUUAAAAACCAAAGGAGGAAAAGUAUGCAUAUUUGUCCCCUAUGGAUCUCCACCCAAUUUCUAAUCACUCCAAGGGCAGAGUAAAGGCUAAACCACAAAUCAACUACUUAUGGUCUUAUGAUCCUCUCAUGUGCCAAACACAUUUAUCAAUACAUGGACUAGUUUCCUCAUGUCUGAGUGUUAUUGAUCUUCAAGUGCAAGGGAAAAGAAUCGGAAGAUCACCGAUGAAAAUAAAACAGAAAGAGCACGUUAUCUAUUGAGAUACCUCAGGAGCAAAACAACAAAAGGCACUAGAGGUCAGGUUGAAAUUUGAAGCUGUUCUCAUGUAAGCCCAUUUCACUUAAAGCGGAUAAAUCUGGCUUCCAGAAUGCAUCUUGCUAGUGAAUAAAGUUCUCUUAGGUCUAUCUCCCCAGUGUCAAAUAAGUCAAUGAUCCAAAAUUUAGUUAGUAGUCUACUGUGGUUACUCCAAAUUACCAUUUUGCAAACAUCCUUAACAAACAUUCACUGAAGAAUUGGGAGAAAAGAGGAAUUUUGUAGAGUCUGAAAGUCAUUCUCUCACCCCAGGCUUAUGAUUAAAGAGCAAGUACGUGCCAUGGCUAGACAAACUAUAACUGCCAUAGAAUCCAGCUCAGUAUAUACUGAGCAGUAAGUUUGCUCCUUAAACUCUAAGGAAUUUUAAGGGGCACCAAUGAGUGCAGGAAGUUUGGAGGACUAGUGGGGGAAAAGUAUAGGGAGUAUCAGGGAAGUGAGGGAGACACAGAUGACCACCAGCACCUAAUACAGCCCUUUAUUCUGACUACUUCAUUGAAGAGGAAUAUUGCUUCUCACUUUUAACACAGGCCCUGAGGAUAAACAGGCUGAAUGUCUUUUCUGAAACUCUGAACUAAAAACUUCUCUGAACCCCUUUUACCCCUUAGCAAUGUUGAGACCCAAGGUGACAAGAAACUGGACUGAAGUCUGGUGCUCGGAGGCCUGUUGCUAUUUGUUCUUUGUGUCUUGGUUUUGAAAAGUGUAAGUGAGGGUCUAAGAAAGAACCCAGGAAUGUCAAAGGAGCAAAAGGGCAGUAGACUGGGGUUUGGGAUAAACUGUGGGGCCAGGGACAUAGA